rnacentral:lncRNA from 1 species
UAGGGUUUCCUUGAGGGACUUUUCUUAGCUGUAUGCACCAGCACCUAUUAGGAGGAUUGAUGCUAUCUGGAUUUGACGAAUUGCAGCCCACCCCAUGGUGAGGAUUUUUCUUUGGAAGCUGGCCUGGAAUUGGCUUCCUACUCGAGCUCUUCUUAGGGAUAGGGGCAUGGAGAUUCUGACCUCUUGUCCUAUUUGUGGGAUAGAGGAUGAGUCUAUGGAGCAUGCUAUGUUACGCUACACGAGGACGAGGGUCAUUUGGUGACAG